rnacentral:rRNA from 1 species
AAUAGAUACCCAGGUAGUCCACGCCGUAAACGAUGAGUGCUAAGUGUUAGAGGGUUUCCGCCCUUUAGUGCUGCAGCUAACGCAUUAAGCACUCCGCCUGGGGAGUACGGCCGCAAGGCUGAAACUCAAAGGAAUUGACGGGGGCCCACACAAGCGGUGGAGCAUGUGGUUUAAUUCGAAGCAACGCGAAGAACCUUACCAGGUCUUGACAUCCUCUGACCUCCCUGGAGACAGGGCCUUCCCCUUCGGGGGACAGAGUGACAGGUGGUGCAUGGUUGUCGUCAGCUCGUGUCGUGAGAUGUUGGGUUAAGUCCCGCAACGAGCGCAACCCUUGACCUUAGUUGCCAGCAUUGAGUUGGGCACUCUAAGGUGACUGCCGGUGACAAACCGGAGGAAGGUGGGGAUGACGUCAAAUCAUCAUGCCCCUUAUGACCUGGGCUACACACGUGCUACAAUGGAUGGUACGAGGGGCUGCGAGACCGCGAGGUUAAGCCAAUCCCAGAAAACCAUUCCCAGUUCGGAUUGCAGGCUGCAACCCG